rnacentral:misc_RNA from 1 species
GUGGAGAAAGCGAAUCCAUAUAAAGCUUAAUUGAGUUGAGUAUACAAAAUUUAACAAUUUCUCAAGCUUAUGAGGAUCUGAAUACAUUUUUUAAUAGGCGCUUUCUAUAUGAAUACGCUCAAAUUCUGUAAUUAUACAAAUUGCUAUAAUGCAAAACAACAUAUUACAACACAUUUCCUUGCUAGAACUUGCAUAGAUUGCUAAAUACACAAAAUCAAAGUUUGAAAGUAAGCAUUUUUUUUUACAUGCUUCAUUAUUCCUAAAGGCUUAUCGAACUUCUUGCAUGCUUGACUAGUGCUUGAUUUGAGACAGCAUACACCUUAUAUCCUUGCUGUUAGGCCUUUGUUUUGGGUCAUCCAGAGUGCAAAAGCAAGCAAUUUUCAGGACCAGCAGCAUUUGCUCCUCGUACCCUUUUCCCAUCAGCUUCGGAUCUAUUGCUUGCAUUGGACUUUCGGAUGUCAUGACAUUCCUCAUCCACUUGACCAGACUCAUUUCGCGGGUGGUUUGGAAGAACUCAUCAGAUGGAAGCUUUCCUAUCACCAGAACCCCAAGCAGCACGCCAAAGCUGUAGAUGUCACACCUGUCUGUGAACUUGAGUGUUUGAUGAUAUUCUGGUGCUAUGUAUCCCACGGUUCCUGCAACAUUGGAAGUUGUGAUAUGUGUAUUCGCAUCUGGCAUUGCCUUCGCAAGUCCAAAAUCUGCAAUUCGAGCUUCCAUGUCAUCAUCAAGAAGGAUGUUUGCUGGCUUUAAAUCUCUGUGAAUAAUGCGUGGACUAUGAUUCAUGUGAAGGUAUUCAAGCCCUGAUGCUACUCCUAACGCAAUUUUAUGCCUGGCAAGCCAAUCCAAUUCUCUAGUGCCAUCUGAAACCUGAUUCAAAACGUCUUGCAAACUACCAUUCUUCAUGAAUUCAUACACAAGGUAAUGGCAAUCGGGCCGAGACACAUGUGCCAGAAGAGGAAGAAGGUUCCUGUGUCGAAUUUGACCCACUGUGUUUAUCUCUGAUCGAAUUUGCCUCAUUUUCUUGUUCAAAAGCUUACUGUCUUCUUCAGUUAGUUCUGUAGCGUCCCUUGGAGGUUGGAUGAUCUUCUUUAUUGCAAUCAUUUUUCCAUUACUUCCAGGCAACUCAGCUUUGUACACUUCUCCACACCCACCUCUACCAAUGACUUCUAAAUUAGCAAGCCCGUCUUCUUUCUCCAAGAAAGCCAAAUGCUCUGCUUUCUUUAUCACAUGAGGACUAAAGAUUGCUGGCCCUGAGUCUCUUCCUCCACCUCUUAUCGCUGCCAAUGCUAGCUUGAACAUCACCGAAAACACAAACCCGGAUAUACUUCCGGCAGCUGCUCCGGCGAGAAAUCCUAGGAUCCAACCACUUAGCUUCCUUCUGCCAUUUUUGCCCUUGUGAUGUUUGCCUUCUGUUGACGAUGGGCUAGGAGCUUGAGCAGAAGCUGCAGUUGGCCCUGCUGCAGAAGAAAUAUUUCUGUGUCCUUUGGUUAUAUUAUUAUUCUCCUCUAAUAUGUAACGUUUUGGGUAUUGAGACUCCGUGGAUCCAGCUUUGCUCAUCAGCGGCACAGGUCCCUCAAGAAAGCUAUUCCCAGAGAAGUCGAAGAAUUGGAGAUUACGAAAUGAACGUAUAGAUUUAGGAACUAUCCCCGUAAAGAGAUUGUUUGCAAGAGAGAGACGUUCCAAGUUGGGGAAUUGCUUCAAGAAACUCAAAUUGCCAGAGAAUUUAUUGUUGGAGAGAUCAAGAAUUCGCAGACGUAAAAGUUUCGAUAAUUCAAAGGGAACCUCACCGCAAAACUGAUUGUUUCCAAGGUCAAGAAUUUCCAGUUUCUUGCAGUCAACAAUCUGGGGAGGGAGUUGAUCAACUAGUUGAUUGUUUGGAAGAGAGAGUUCUUUGAGCUCCGAGAGGUGGCCAACCGCAGGAGACAAGAACCCAGUGAGGCGUUGGGACUUAAAGAUGAGUCUAGUGAUUUUGAGUACAUAGGUGUUGUUGUUAGAGAGCCUCCUCUCGCAGAACACACCUGGAUUGUUGCAAGGGGUGGUGGAGGGGCUGCGUUGACCAUUGAUGCCCAAUUCAUUGUGGAUGAUGGAGAAGGCUUUGAGGUCUGAGUGAUCGAGAUUCACUCUUGCAUAAGUGAAGAGGAGGAGGGAGAGGAAAGUAAGGAGGGACAGAGAGGGUUUAGGAGGAGUGAAAGCCAUUUCUGAUGGGGGGAGCUGGCCUGGGAGUUUUUUU